AAAUAGCGGAGGAAAAGAAACCAACAGGGAUUGCCUCAGUAACGGCGAGUGAAGCGGCAAAAGCUCAAAUUUGAAAUCUAGCACCUUCGGUGUUCGAGUUGUAAUUUGAAGAUGGUAACCUUGGGUUUGGCUCUUGUCUAUGUUCCUUGGAACAGGACGUCAUAGAGGGUGAGAAUCCCGUCUGAUGAGAUGCCCAUUCCUAUGUAAGGUGCUAUCGAAGAGUCGAGUUGUUUGGGAAUGCAGCUCUAAGUGGGUGGUAAAUUCCAUCUAAAGCUAAAUAUUGGCGAGAGACCGAUAGCGAACAAGUACAGUGAUGGAAAGAUGAAAAGAACUUUGAAAAGAGAGUGAAAAAGUACGUGAAAUUGUUGAAAGGGAAGGGCAUUAGAUCAGACUUGGUGUUUUACGAUUAUCUUCUCUUCUUGAGUUGUGCACUCGUAUUUCACUGGGCCAGCAUCGAUUCGGAUGGCAAGAUAAUGGCAGUUGAAUGUGGCUUCACUUCGGUGGAGUGUUAUAGCUUCUGCUGAUAUUGCCUGUCUGGAUCGAGGGCUGCGUCUUUGACUAGGUGCUGCGUAAGUACGAAGAACGC
rnacentral:rRNA from 1 species